CCCCACCUCAGUGCCCUGCCAGCACAUAGGGCAUCUGGAACACCACAGUCAUUCAUAAUGCAAAACAUGCCUACAAGAGACCUAAGCCACUGCAGUGACAGGAAGGAACAAGAUGUGGGAAUGCAGCUCUAAGAGCUCCAGAAAAACUCUGAUUUCCUGCAAUCUACAAACUGCACCUUGUUACAAUCCAGCUCUGUCCAGCUGUGAAGAUGGUGUCCUCUAGAAUACUGAGGAGGAAGAACAGCAAUAAAAAUAAAAAGUAUGAAGGAACUGUGGAGCACUGGGAGACCCUACAGAUGAAAGCCCUGAGGGUGGAAGAACAAUGAACACCAACUUUCAACCAGGAAAAGAAAAUCAACCUUUCCACUGGCAUCAGUGCAAGACCCUCCCUUUGAGGGGUGCACAUGGAGCUCAAGGGUUCUGAUGUCUUUCUUUGUGAGGAAGAAGAUGACAUGUUCCUCCAUAACAAUGACUCCUUUGGAAGUACACAUACACACAAACCCAAGCUCCCUUUCUUCCUGAAAUUAAAUACUCUGUCAACUUUUGUUUCCUCUAGUUCUGGGAUUUUUCUUCCAAUGCACUGGAUAUGUCAAAAGUAUGUAUAAUGAGCAGGGGGUGCUGCAUACAAUUCUUGGUCAUACAUGAUUGACUGGAUGUUCAGAGAUAGGCUCUGGUAUCCAUGGUACUGUAACAGAGUUAAUCCCCUAUGGUUUAAUGUUGAAAACUUGUGCCUUCCUUUCCCUUCCUGCAGCAUGAGUGUAAUAAUACAGGCCAUUUUUCAUGAAUGGUUUUGUAAGAGCUCCUCUAUUCCAGGUUAAUAAUCCCUUGCUGUAAAGGAUAAAUAUCCUAAUUGUUCUAACAUCCCCUGACUCUGACGGCCUUGAAGUUGGCUGUGCCAUUCAAUGAGUAGGACUCAAUUAUCUUCUUAAUUAUUAACUUAAAAACACUGGGAAACAAUUGCUGACCCUUGGGAUUAGUUUCAUUUUUUUACAGCCUAAUCCUUCAGUUUUAAGCAUGAAAAAAGUCCUUCCCCAAACUUGCCUGUGUGAGUGAGAGCCUGAGGAUCUGGUCUCCAGCCCUUUGAAGGAGUGUAUCUGACUUGGCACUCAGCUGUUUUACCUUUGUCUUAGCCGAGAGCAUAAUUGCCAGCAAAGCCUUUCUGGGACCAUCCAACUUCCUCAAUUGGGGAGAACAGUCAAAUCUGUCUUACUGAAAGCAGAUGAUAUCCUUUAGAGAUUACAAACAAUAUCAUCUUUCUGAUGUUUAGCCCUUCUCUUUUUCCUGCAGGAAAGUGGCAACAACAGCCAAUACAUUCAAGAGACAGGAAAGGAUUUUUCAUAAAGGAUUAUAGAGUUGUUUUGCUGCUCACAUCUCCUGUUUUUUUGCAUAAUAAUCUCCAUAACAAACUGUGCUUGAUUCUGCCCCUGUUGAUAUCAGUGACAAAACUCCCACGGAUUUUAGCUGGAACAGCAUCAAAACCUACUUUACUGAUGAUUUGAAAGGAAAAUAAUUUUUUCUCCUAAGUUUCAUAUGUAAUUUCUUGUCCCCUUUCUUUCACUGCCUCUUGUGUAGAGACAUGGAGACCUUGUAGAAGCUUAUUUUUAUAAUAUCCCUGUGACUGUCAUAGAAGCCAAUUACAGUGCCAAAGUCCCAAGGACUUUAUUGUUACAACUCACAAGCCUUUCCCAGAAAUGAAGGAUUCUACUAAAUUUCACUGAAGACAUAGGACAGAUUAUGAGGCAUGGCAUGAAGAAAGAACAGUCUGAGUCUCUGCAUGUGUUUUCUACUCCUCUCUUGUCUGUUUGAGCAACCUUUGGUUUUCAGAAAUGAUUAAAUAUUAAAUAAUUUUCUUGUGCCAAAUAUUUGCUAUUGGCAAAUAUGCCGUGAUAUGGCACCACUCAAAUCUCCCUCUUACCUAAAUAUUACAUUGAUGAGACUACUGAGACUUGUUGUUGUUGUUUAUCAUGGUUUCUGCAGGGAAUCUAGCCUCAACUAUUAGUACCACAAGGAACAGCUGUAAAUGGUCCAUCAUAGCAAAAGCCACUUACCUGAAAUUCACACCUGCAGGGCAGGCAGUGUGCAUAAACAUCUCUGUACACAUUGCUGUGCUGUUUGUACUUCAAAAACUCUCAUGACGCUUAUAAGAAGGACAUAAACUGAUGUAUACACAAUAUGAGGAAGGUACAGUAGCUUCAUGUUUCCUCUGCAGAAAGAGUUCCAUGGGAACAUCAUGCUGUUAAUUUUUAAACUAGACUCCCAAACAAUAUCCUUAUUAUGGUAUGAGUCCUGCUGGCUAAACAAGAUGUGAUUUCUCUGUUCCAUUUUUAUCUAUAUAGAAAAAUUCUUGUAAUAAGGUUAGUAUAAGGAGAAUAGGUUUUUCUCACUAGUAUGAGUUAUGUUAAAAGAGAAAAAUUAAUUGCUUUUUUAAAAAGUAUGAGUUUUCUCACUAACAUAAUGUGUACCUUUACAGCUGAGCAGUGGAAGGUGAGCAGUGAUGACAGUCAUUCUCUGAGCAGAAUUUUAAGAAGAAUGGUUUCUGAAUCUAUAUUUCAAUGUUUUUAAGCUAGAAGUACCAUUUUAAAAGUUAGGUUGAUCUGGUAUAAUUCAUGUAAUAUAAUUCAUAUUGCUGUAACCUGAUUUAAUUUUAAAUUAGAUCAAAUAUAUAGACAAUCUUUACAAAGGUGUUCAUGCAGAAACUCAAUGAGAAACCACGGCUCCAGAAAAUAUUUACUGCGCAUAUAAGCCAUUUGGUGAUAGACAAGUGACCAAGGAGUGACUGAGAGAGUGCAGCAAGCUACCUCUGCAGCCACAGGACCUGCAGACAUUAUUCUAUUGAGCCUGCUGCCAGAUGAAAAGUGUUUGCUUAGCUCCUGGAAAAGGUAGUGUAAGGUCAUGCAUUUCAGCUGCAGUCAGGGUAGCAGGGAGACUGAGAGAUGCACAUAUUGGCAUCUGGUAUUGUGAUUUGACUGAAGAUGAGCUCAGCCCCUGGUAACAAUUGCUGGAGAUUGUGCAGCCAUCACCCUGACAUCUGCAGUGCUACUGCAUUUUGUGUAUUUGCCUCCAUUUUUCCUCUGAACUGAACAGAACUGUGAGGGGCCAACAGCUCAGAAGAUGCCCUCUGAAAGAAAGUAUGUGGAAUUUAAACUGGGUUAUUCUGGACUUUCCAGUGAAGAAGUAUUUGCUGGGGAAUUCUGUAACUACUCCUUUUUGCCAAUUACCUAAAUAAGACUUCAAGUUGACAUAGCUGGUGCCUUGCAUUGCUGCAGCCUUUUGGGGAUAAAUUUCCCACUGCUGGAUUUGCUGACAUGUGAAGACAUAAGUUAAAACAUUUAUGAGAUGUUUUCUCCAUGCUCCAGAAAAAAAAAAAAAAAAAAAAAAAAGAAAUCUCAAUUUUUUGUCUUUUGUCGUUUGCUUUUUUUUUAAUUUCAAGAUUAACUUUUGCACAACAGAUCAAAAGAAAUUUUCUCUGCUUCAUAGUCUGAGAAUUGUAGCAGCUAGGCUGAAAGGCUCAGCAAAACAAAAGCACAACAGACUGAAAUUUAGCAAGAGAUUUCAAAUUAGAGGGACAAUUGCCAACAGCUAAUUUUUUAUUUGGUUAGAGCUGGCUUCCACCCCAGCUGAUUACAAAGCCAUGUCCAAGGGUUCUGAAUGAGGUGGUGCCAAGGAGAUUUGAGGUCUGUCAAAAGUAGUCUUGUUUCAUGGUUGACCAUGCAAGAAUUAGAACAGAGUUCUGUGAAGAAAUGUAUUCAUAUAAAAUACAGGUAGUCAAGGCAAAAGGCAUUGCCUUACUGAAGGGGUGUUGACAAAGGAUAAAUUUUAGUCUAAUGACACCAGUUUCCAAAGGGGCCCCGUACAUUCAGUGCAUAGAAAUUGGCUACAAAUGUAGGGGAUUUGGAGCAGUUAAAUUAUUCUUCGAUAUUUGUCCUCCUGAGGCAUCUCCACCUAUU